rnacentral:tRNA from 1 species
UGGCUUAGUGGUAGAGUGCUUGCCUUGCAUGCAUGAGGACCUGGGUUCGAUUCCUCAG